UGCGCCAGCGAGGUGGUGUGUUGCGCGCCGCCGGCUCACACGCACGCGGUCCCGCGUCCUGCCCUCGCAGCACAAAGCGCCCCAGCAGCCAUGCUGCUUCCCGCGCGCUUCUGAAUCUCCCGGCUCGUUCCCUGCACACUGCGCCGACACCACAUUCCUAUUAUUUACCUUCCCGGUGAUAAUAAGUUUUUGCCCGAAAGCGUCCACUAAGAAUCACACGACGUUAGUCAAAGCAAAUAAAACAAUACCCGCGGAAGGCUCUCUGAUCUUCGAGGGACGGAGCACGUGCUCCAGUGCCUGACCGAGGCGUGUUUCCUCGAACACACAGGCAACGCGACUGGCAGUGAUUGCGUUCCCAGCUGCCACUACUCGUCAGGAAAAUCAACGCUACUAUAUUCCGGUUAUAGCAGCCCAUUCCUGGAAGGGUUUCUGGGUGCUUCUUCGCUCAGGCUUCUCCGAAAGAUUUUACGCCUCACCUUUCUGCUAGAGUGCAUGUGAUUCCGAUAUUUGCUGCAAGUUCGUCUCACAUCAAAAGCUGAUCCAAACAGACGGCAGCGGUAUCAUAGUUUUCCGUGACGGAUAUUCACCGUUGAAAGGGUGGUCAGCUCCCUGAUCGAGCAGCUUGAGCUACCGCGCCGGCAGCCCUUCGGCUACAGCGGCGGCCUUCAGGAGCAGUCAGCUGUUCCAUUGAAUCCAACGGAGACAUCACGUGCAGACGGGCUUUAUCGCAGCGGUAUAGUUCGAAGUCUUCACGUACGCUCUUCCGUCGUUCCAUAAG